AUUGAACGCUGGCGGAAUGCUUUACACAUGCAAGUCGAGCGGCAGCACGGGGGCAACCCUGGUGGCGAGCGGCGAACGGGUGAGUAAUACAUCGGAACAUGCCCAGUCGUGGGGGAUAACACUUCGAAAGAAGUGCUAAUACCGCAUACGUCCUGAGGGAGAAAGCGGGGGAUCUUCGGACCUCGCGCGAUUGGAGUGGCCGAUGUCAGAUUAGCUAGUUGGUGGGGUAAAGGCCUACCAAGGCAACGAUCUGUAGCUGGUCUGAGAGGAUGAUCAGCCACACUGGGACUGAGACACGGCCCAGACUCCUACGGGAGGCAGCAGUGGGGAAUUUUGGACAAUGGGGGCAACCCUGAUCCAGCCAUUCCGCGUGAGUGGAGAAGGCCUUCGGGUUGUAAAGCUCUUUCGGCAGGAACGAAACGGCGAGCUCUAACAUAGCUUGCUAAUGACGGUACCUGAAGAAGAAGCACCGGCUAACUACGUGCCAGCCGCCGCCGGUAACAC
rnacentral:rRNA from 1 species